AGGUCCAACAAAGACAAUAAAUGCUUCUUUGUUCAUCCGUCCAUCGUCUGAACUGGUUAUUCUGACAAGGAUUGUGGGCGUGCUGGAGCCUAUGCCAGUCGACUUCGGGUAGUAGAUGUCCUACUUUGUAAGCGGCCGUUGAAUGCACCUCAAGUCUACUAACAAACGUAAUCAUCAGUUGAGACGAGCACCCCUGGGCACGGAGGGCAGUCUUGAACGGAUCGGGGAGCCUUAAUUUGAAGGUUUUUUCCCGACUCGGUGAGCUGCUUUAGACACGUCACACAAGAAUGUGGAACAGCUCUGACAAAGGCGAAAGUGACACCUCAAAUUGUCAGCAAGGUAAGAGAAACCUUGUCUGGAACAAAUAAACUUCAAACCUAUUUUAAAAAAGAAGACAAGAUGAAUGCUUUACGCAAACGUGUCAUUAUUACUGCACUUUGGGUGUUACACAUAUCAUUUAAAUUGUUGAAUUCACAAUAAUUGGAUAUUUUCAACGCAGCAGUGCUUUGGAAUUGAAAUACAAGUUACCAGACUUUUUUCCUUUAGGUAUAAGGCGUUGUGCAGCCAGUUUUCUUUUUUCAUCGACGUUGAAGCAAAAUUUCAAGAUUCAAGUACUACACUAAACCCUCGUUUAUCGCGGAUAAUUGGUUCCAAAAACCACCCGCGAUAAGUGAAAUCCGCAAAGUACGGUCACCAACAAGAAGUACCGGGCAGGCUAACGAGUUGGCGGAAAGAUGCUAAUUUGCGAUCAUGCUAACACGCGAAAACAGACUUCUAAAGGAAUAUAAACGAACAUUUGGAGCGAUACUACAUUGUCCUAAACGUUAGACACGUUUCCUCAAUUUAGAAGUUUUAUUUCGACUUUUAAAUGUUUUUUUAAUUUGAAAAAAAAAAAUCCGCAAUGUAGUGAAGCCGCGAUAAACGAAACGCGAAAUAGCGAGGGAUCACUGUAUAUCAGCAGUAUAUUCAAGUCAAAUAAACAACAACAAACAGCAAUUUGGAAGAGGGUGAAUAAUUCUUCGGAUAAAAGAGGUUUCAAACUGUUUUAUGUCACAACCAGAAUCGUAUCGUCAACGUAAACAUAACCACUGUGCAUCAUUAGCCAUGAUUGUUGGGCCUACAGAUUUGGAGCUGUGAAUAAAACAAGGUCCUUGUAGCUAGCAGACGUAAUAUGUCUUAAUGCUUGUUACUUCACAGGUGCACGAGGCCUCAUUAAGUCCCUGAAUGCCUCAGGCUUUCCAAUGUUCUCACCUUCUACUCACCGCCGACCUAUGACUCACCAACCCCUUUAGACUAAAGCAUCAUUAAAUUAGUUUAAACACAAAGCCUCACGUCAGAAGGUUGAAUG